GAAAGUAAGAAAGGGCGCAUGGCGGAUGCCUUGGCUCAUGGAGGCGAUGAAGGACGUGAUAAGCUGCGAUAAGCUUCGGGUAGAUGCAAAUAAUCUUUGAUCCGAAGAUUUCCGAAUGGGACAACCUAGCGUGUUGAAGACACGUUACUCUUGCAAUGUAAGAGAGCUAACGCAGGGAACUGAAACAUCUUAGUACCUGUAGGAAGAGAAAAUAAUUUAAUGAUUUCCCUAGUAGUGGCGAGCGAACGGGAAGUAGCCCAAACCUAUGACGUAGCAAUGCGCCAUAGGGGUUGUAGGACCACGACAUUGUAUUAAGUCAAUCGAGAAGAAUAUUCUGGAAAGAAUAACCAUAGAGGGUGAUAGUCCUGUACUCGAAGUGCGACUUAGCAUAGUGGUAUCCUGAGUACCGCGGAACACGUGUAAUUCUGCGCGAAUCAGCCGGGCCCAUCCGGUAAGGCUAAAUACUCCCAUGAGACCGAUAGUGAACGAGUACUGUGAAGGAAAGGUGAAAAGCACUCCGCGAGGAGAGUGAAAUAGUUCCUGAAACCAUGCGCCUACAAGCGGUCGGAGCAAAGUAAUUUGUGACGGCGUGCCUUUUGCAUAAUGAACCUACGAGUUACCAUGUCUGGCAAGGAUAAGUGAUUCAGUCACGCAUCCAUAGUGAAAGCGAGCCUGAACAGGGCGUUAUAGUCAGAUGGGGUAGACGCGAAACCAAGUGAUCUACACUUACCCAGGUUGAAGUUCGGGUAACACCGAAUGGAGGACCGCACCAAUAAGCGUUGAAAAGCUUCUGGAUGAGGUGAGUGUAGGAGUGAAAGGCCAAUCAAACUUGGAGAUAGCUCGUACUCCCCGAAAGGCAUUUAGGUGCCGCGUGCUACGAUUAGCAUAAGAGGUAGAGCGACCGAUAGGUCAAGAGGGCUUCACCGCCUAUUGCGACCUGACGAACUCCGAAUGCUUAUGUUUUGCAGUAGUGCAGUAAGGGGGCGGGUGCUAAGGUCCGUCCCCGAGAGGAGAAGAAUCCAGACCGUCAUCUAAGGUCCCGAAAUUCUGUCUAAGUUAGUCUAACGAAGUGUGGUCCCCGUGACAGCUAGGAUGUUGGCUUGGAAGCAGCCAUUCAUUCAAAGAGUGCGUAACAGCUCACUAGUCGAGGGUCCGUGCAUGGAUAAUAAUCGGGUAUUAAGUCAGAUACCGAAGGUGCGGGAUAGUAUUGUAUAUAAAAAGUAUCGGUAGGGGAGCAUUCCAUCGGCGCAGAAUAUAGACCGUAAGGUUUGUUGGAGCUUAUGGAAAAGCAAAUGUAGGUAUAAGUAACGAUAAAAAGGGUUAGAUUCCCUUUCGCCGAAAGACCGAGGUUUCCCGGGCGAUGCCAAUCAGCCCGGGGUUAGUCGAGUCCUAAGUCUCAUCCGAACGGAGCAGGCGAUGGCAGAUGAGGUUAAUAUUCCUCAACUUGCUUAUAUAGUGAAGUGGAGACGGAGCAGUGACACUGUCGCGUCCUGACGGACAUGGACGUUUAAUAUUUUAGGCAUUGAUAGGUGCAGGCAAAUCCACACCUUGAGCUGAGAAUAGAAAGUACAACCUUCUCUUCGGAGAAAGUUGAUAGUACAGGUAAUCAUACUCCCGAGAAAAUCCGCUAGCGUUAAUAUUUAAGCAACUCGUACCGCAAACGGACACACGUGGUCGGGUAGAAUAUACUAAGGCGUUGAGAGAUUCAUGGUUAAGGAACUAGGCAAAUUGACCCUGUAACUUCGGGAUAAAGGGUCCUCGUAUUUAGCUAUACGAGGCGCAGAGAAUAGGUCCAGGCAACUGUUUAACAAAAACACAGGGCUGUGCUAACUCGAAAGAUGAUGUAUACAGCCUGACACCUGCCCGGUGCUGGAAGGUUAAGAGGAGAGCUUAGAUGUAAAUCGACGGUUUGAAUUGAAGCCCCAGUAAACGGCGGCCGUAACUAUAACGGUCCUAAGGUAGCGAAAUUCCUUGUCGGGUAAGUUCCGACCUGCACGAAUGGUGUAAU
rnacentral:rRNA from 1 species